rnacentral:rRNA from 1 species
UGCCAGCCGCCGCGGUAAUACGGAGGGGGCGAGCGUUAUUCGGAUUUAUUGGGCGUAAAGGGUCCGUAGGGGGUUUGAUAAGUCUGAUGUGAAAUAUCGAGGCUCAACCUCGAAACUGCAUUGGAAACUGUCAGACUAGAGCAUAGGAGAGGAGAGUGGAAUUCCUGGUGUAGCGGUGGAAUGCGUAGAUAUCAGGAGGAACACCGAUGGCGAAGGCAGCUCUCUGGACUAUUGCUGACCCUGAGGGACGAAAGCUAGGGGAAGCGAACAGGAUUAGAUA